rnacentral:rRNA from 1 species
UCAAGCUACAAAGAGCUUAAGGUGAAUGCCUUGGCACUGGGAGCCGAAGAAGGACGUGGCAAGCUGCGAAAAGCUGCGGGGAGUUGCAAGCAAACAUUGAUCCGCAGAUGUCCGAAUGGAGCAAUCCACAUAGGGUAACGCCUAUGUAUCAUACAGUGAAUCCAUAGCUGUAUGAGGGGAACCGCCUGAACUGAAACAUCUAAGUAGGGCGAGGAAGAGAAAUCAACUGAGAUUCCGUAAGUAGUGGCGAGCGAACGCGGAAGAGGCCAAACCGAGAGUAGUAAUACUUUCGGGGUUCGGACAGAAUACGGUAUUGUAAAGGUUUAGUGGAAUGGAAUGGGAAGUCCAACCGAAGAAGGUGAGAGUCCUGUACACGAAAAGCCUGAACAGCCAUCUGUAUCCAGAGUACCGCCGGACACGUGAAACCCGGUGGGAAUAUGGGGGGACCAUCCUCCAAGCCUAAAUACUACUCGGUGACCGAUAGUGAAGAAGUACUGUGAAGGAAAGGUGAAAAGUACCCCUGACGGGGAGUGAAAAAGAACCUGAAACCUUGUGUUUACAAGCACCGAAAGCUCAUCAAAGAGCGAUCGGGUACCUUUUGUAGAAUGGUCCGGCGAGUGAAUGUAACCGGCGAGGUUAAGCACUUAAGGUGUGAAGCCGCAGCGAGAGCAAGUCUGAAUAGGGCGUAUGAAGUCGGUUGUAUUCGACCCGAAACCGGGUGACCUACCCAUGGUCAGGUUGAAGUAAAGGUAAAACUUUAUGGAGGACCGAACCGACUCCCGUUGAAAUGGUAGCGGAUGAACUGUGGGUAGCGGAGAAAUUCCAAUCGAACCCGGAGAUAGCUGGUUCUCUCCGAAAUAGCUUUAGGGCUAGCCUUGAAAUAGAUUACCGGAGGUAAAGCACUGAAUUGGCUAGGGGCCGAGAGGUUACUGAACCUUAUCAAACUAAGAAUGCCGGAUAAUCGUUUUUCAGGAGUCAGACAGUGGGAGAUAAGUUUCAUUGUCAAAAGGGAAACAGCCCAGACCCACAGCUAAGGUCCCCAAGUAUAGUUAAGUGGAAAAGGAUGUGGAAUUGCACAGACAACCAGGAUGUUGGCUUAGAAGCAGCCACUCAUUAAAAGAGUGCGUAAUAGCUCACUGGUCGAGUGACUCUGCGCCGAAAAUUUAACGGGGCUAAACUAUACACCGAAGCUUGGGAUACAUCUAAUGUAUGGUAGGAGAGCGUUCUGUAUGGGGAGAAGUCGUAGCGAAAGCGGCGGUGGACUAUACAGAAGUGAGAAUGCCGGAAUAAGUAGCGAGAAUUAAGUGAGAAUCUUAAUGGCCGAAAGUCUAAGGUUUUUGGAGGAAGGUUCGUCCGCUCCAAGUAAGUCGGGAGCUAAGGUCAGGCCGAAAGGCGUAGCCGAUGCACAUACGGUUGAUAUUCCGUAACCAUCUGUAAUUUAAGCAAAGGGACACUUCAAAAGGGUGUGACCCGGGCGUUGGUUGACCCGGGCGUAAGGGACCGAAAUUAGAGUAGGGAAGCACACUUGGCUGAAGGCGAGAAAAGCUUUGCGUAUAGAAACAGAUGCCCGUACCGCAAACCGACACAGGUGGACAGGAAGAGAAUUCUAAGGCCAGCGGGAGAAGGGUAGUUAAGGAACUCGGCAAAUUGACUCCGUAACUUCGGAAUAAGGAGUGCUCGAAAGAGCCGCAGAGAAUAGGCCCAGGCGACUGUUUAGCAAAAACACAGGUCUCUGCCAAAUCGAAAGAUGAAGUAUAGGGGCUGACACCUGCCCGGUGCCGGAAGGUUAAGAGGAGGAGUGAGAGCUCCGAAUUGAAGCCCCGGUAAACGGCGGCCGUAACUAUAACGGUCCUAAGGUAGCGAAAUUCCUUGUCGGGUAAGUUCCGACCUGCACGAAUGGUGUAAUGAUCUGGACGCUGUCUCAACCGUGAGCUCAGUGAAAUUGUAGUAUCGGUGAAGAUGCCGAUUACCCGCGAUGGGACGAAAAGACCCCGUGAACCUUUACUAUAGCUUAUCAUUGAAUCUGGGCACGUGAUGUGUAGGAUAGGUCGGAGGCUUUGAAGCAGGUACGCCAGUAUUUGUGGAGCCGCUGUUGAAAUACGACCCUUUAUUUGUUUGGAUUCUAACCCGUGGAACGGGGACAUUGAUUGGUGGGUAGUUUGACUGGGGUGGUCGCCUCCAAAAGCGUAACGGAGGCUUCUAAAGGUGCCCUCCGGCCGAUUGGUAACCGGCCUUAGAGUGUAAUGGCAUAAGGGCGCUUGACUGGGAGACUGACAAGUCGAUCAGGUAGGAAACUAGAGCAUAGUGAUCCGGUGUUUCCGUAUGGAAGGGACAUCGCUCAAAGGAUAAAAGGUACUCCGGGGAUAACAGGCUGAUCCCUCCCAAGAGCUCAUAUCGACGGAGUGGUUUGGCACCUCGAUGUCGGCUCGUCACAUCCUGGGGCUGGAGAAGGUCCCAAG